rnacentral:rRNA from 1 species
CUAUAAUGCAGUCGAACGCUAGUCGCGGACCUGAUCACUUCGGUGAGACGUAAAGCAUAUGGCUAGAGUGGCGAACGGGUGAGUAACACGUGGACAACCUGCCUCUAAGCAGGGGAUAACAUUUGGAAACAGAUGCUAAUACCGUAUAACAACACAUUUCGCAUGAAGUGUGUUUAAAAGGGGCUUCGGCCUCACUUAGAGAUGGAUCCGCGGUGCAUUAGUUAGUUGGUGAGGUAAAGGCUUACCAAGACGAUGAUGCAUAGCCGAGUUGAGAGACUGAUCGGCCACAUUGGGACUGAGACACGGCCCAAACUCCUACGGGAGGCUGCAGUAGGGAAUCUUCCACAAUGGGCGCAAGCCUGAUGGAGCAACGCCGCGUGUGUGAUGAAGGCUUUCGGGUCGUAAAGCACUGUUGUAUGGGAAGAAUAGUUAAUGUAGGAAAUGAUGUUAAUGUGACGGUACCAUACCAGAAAGGGACGGCUAAAUACGUGCCAGCAGCCGCGGUAAUACGUAUGUCCCGAGCGUUAUCCGGAUUUAUUGGGCGUAAAGCGAGCGCAGACGGUUCGUUAAGUCUGAAGUGAAAGCCCACAGCUCAACUGUGGAAUGGCUUUGGAAACUGGCGAACUUGAGUGCAGUAGAGGCAAGUGGAACUCCAUGUGUAGCGGUGGAAUGCGUAGAUAUAUGGAAGAACACCAGUGGCGAAGGCGGCUUGCUGGACUGUAACUGACGUUGAGGCUCGAAAGUGUGGGUAGCAAACAGGAUUAGAUACCCUGGUAGUCCACACCGUAAACGAUGAGUGCUAGGUGUUAGGAGGUUUCCGCCUCUUAGUGCCGGAGCUAACGCAUUAAGCACUCCGCCUGGGGAGUACGACCGCAAGGUUGAAACUCAAAGGAAUUGACGGGGACCCGCACAAGCGGUGGAGCAUGUGGUUUAAUUCGAAGCAACGCGAAGAACCUUACCAGGUCUUGACAUCCUUUGAAGAUGUUAGAGAUAU